rnacentral:rRNA from 1 species
UCGAGAAACUUCCACAAUGGGCGAAAGCCUGAUGGAGCGACGUCGCGUGAUGGACGAAGUGCUUCGGCACGUAAACAUCUUUUAUGUGGGAUGAAAUUAUUGACAGUACCACAUGAAUAAGGGGCUCCUAACUCUGUGCCAGCAGGAGCGGUAAUACAGAGGCCCCAAGCGUUAUCCGGAAUCACUGGGCGUAAAGGGUGUCGAGGCGGUUGUAUUAGUCGUUCGUAAAAUCUACGAGCUUAACUUGUAGGCGGCGAACGAAACGGUACGACUUGAGGUUUGGAGAGGUGCGUGGAACUCACGGUGUAGGGGUGAAAUCCGUUGAUAUCGUGGGGAACACCAAAGGCGAAGGCAGCGCACUGGCCAAAAUCUGACGCUCACACACGAAAGCUAGGGUAGCGAAGAGGAUUAGAUACCCAUGUAGUCCCUGAGCGGGCUGGCAAGGCGCAU